rnacentral:rRNA from 1 species
GAUUUCUGACAGUGAGGUACUGACCCGCCCAGGUCUACUGGUGUGAGUGUUGGUUGCUUCUUGUCAUCCUUUCUAGGGAACAUUGUUGGGUUCUUCACUGAGCUCGGCAAUGCGAUCUAGAUCUUUUACUUUGAAAAAAUUAGAGUGUUUAAGGCAGGCUUUGUUGCUGUUGAAUACAUUAGCAUGGAAUAAUAAUUUAGGACUUCGGUUCUAUUUUGUUGGUUUCUAGAGCUGAAGUAAUGAUUGAUAGGGACAGUUGGGGGUGCUCGUAUUCAGUGGCCAGAGGUGAAAUUCUUGGAUUCCCUGAAGACGAACUUAUGCGAAAGCAUU